rnacentral:tRNA from 1 species
GCUCGGUUGGUCUAGUGGUAUGAUUCUCGCUUAGGGUCGCACCCUAAUGCAAAGCUUGCGAGAGGUCCCCGGUUCAAACCCGGGAUCGAGCC